CCGAAUGUGAAAUAGAACAAUCAUGAACUAAUCAAACACCAGAUUUAUUGAUUUCAAAGAUUGGCUUUGUUUUCUCUCCUUUUGGUGGCGCUGGUUCUCUACGGUGGUUUAAAGGUCUAUAAUACACCUAUCGAAAGUUGAGGUAUUGUCAAAGUAGUUGCUUUGGGACUCAUUUCUGAAUCUAUUUUGGUGGUUAUCGGUACAUCAAGUUCAUUUUGAGGUAUGGAAAAUUUGGAGGAAGAGCAACAUGCGGUUGUUGUGUAUGUACUUGAUGAAACGAUCCCCGAUGUAAGUGUUAUAAUUUAAAACAAUAGGCAUUGUGUUAUGUGAAUAGUUGAUUAAGUUAAAAUAUAUUUCGUGUUUGUUUUUGUGUAAAGGUUUUGAAUGAAUCAAGUUAUGAAUUUGUAGUCAAUGAUGAUGUUAAUGCAAAAGAAGAAGAAACUGGUGGUGGUGAU